rnacentral:rRNA from 1 species
UACGUAGGGUGCAAGCGUUAAUCGGAAUUACUGGGCGUAAAGCGUGCGCAGGCGGUUAUGCAAGACAGAUGUGAAAUCCCCGGGCUCAACCUGGGAACUGCAUUUGUGACUGCAUGACUAGAGUACGGCAGAGGGGGAUGGAAUUCCGCGUGUAGCAGUGAAAUGCGUAGAUAUGCGGAGGAACACCGAUGGCGAAGGCAAUCCCCUGGGCCUGUACUGACGCUCAUGCACGAAAGCGUGGGGAGCAAACAGG